rfam:Algoriphagus marincola HL-49 ITZ_scaf_1741, whole genome shotgun sequence.
GAUUCCGUAGCUCAGCUGGUAGAGCAUAACACUUUUAAUGUUAGGGUCCUGGGUUCGAGCCCCAGCGGGAUCA